rnacentral:rRNA from 1 species
GACGAACGCUGGCGGCGUGCCUAAUACAUGCAAGUCGAGCGAGCGGCGGACGGGUGAGCAAUGUAUGGGGACUGCCCGACAGAGGGGGAUAACUACUGGAAACGGUGGCUAAUACCGCAUACUAUCGGAUAACCCAUAUGGGAUUAGCUAGUGGGGGGGGUAAAGGCUCACCUAGGCGACGAUUCAUAGCUGGUCUGAGAGGAUGAUCAGCCACACUGGGACUGAGACACGGCCCAGACUCCUACGGAGGCAGCAGUGGGGAAUAUUUGGCAAUGGGCGAAAGCCUGAUGCAGCCAUGCCGCGUGUAUGAAGAAGGUCUUAGGGUUGUAAAGUUCUUUCGGCAGGGAGGCGUUACCCGAAGAAGAAGCACCGGCUAACUCCGUGCCAGCCGCCGCGGUAAUAC